CCUACGGGAGGCAGCAGUGAGGAAUAUUGGUCAAUGGCCGUAAGGCUGAACCAGCCAAGUAGCGUGAGGGAAGACUGCCCUAUGGGUUGUAAACCUCUUUUAUGCGGGGAUAAAGGUGUCCACGUGUGGAUGUUUGCAGGUACCGCAUGAAUAAGGACCGGCUAAUUCCGUGCCAGCAGCCGCGGUAAUACGGAAGGUCCGGGCGUUAUCCGGAUUUAUUGGGGUUAAAGGGAGCGUAGGCCGGUCUUUAAGCGUGCCGGGAAAUUUUGUGGCUCAACCAUGAGAGUGCGGCGCGAACUGGAGACCUUGAGGGCGCGGAAGGCAGGCGGAAUUCGUGGUGUAGCGGUGAAAUGCUUAGAUACCACGAAGAACCCCGAUUGCGAAGGCAGCCUGCCGCAGCGUUACUGACGCUGAAGCUCGAAAGCGCGGGUAUCGAACAGGAUUAGAUACCCCAGUAGUC
rnacentral:rRNA from 1 species